rnacentral:rRNA from 1 species
GAAGUUAGCGGCGGACGGGUGAGUAACACGUGGGUAACCUGCCCAUAAGACUGGGAUAACUCCGGGAAACCGGGGCUAAUACCGGAUAACAUUUUGAACUGCAUGGUUCGAAAUUGAAAGGCGGCUUCGGCUGUCACUUAUGGAUGGACCCGCGUCGCAUUAGCUAGUUGGUGAGGUAACGGCUCACCAAGGCAACGAUGCGUAGCCGACCUGAGAGGGUGAUCGGCCACACUGGGACUGAGACACGGCCCAGACUCCUACGGGAGGCAGCAGUAGGGAAUCUUCCGCAAUGGACGAAAGUCUGACGGAGCAACGCCGCGUGAGUGAUGAAGGCUUUCGGGUCGUAAAACUCUGUUGUUAGGGAAGAACAAGUGCUAGUUGAAUAAGCUGGCACCUUGACGGUACCUAACCAGAAAGCCACGGCUAACUACGUGCCAGCAGCCGCGGUAAUACGUAGGUGGCAAGCGUUAUCCGGAAUUAUUGGGCGUAAAGCGCGCGCAGGUGGUUUCUUAAGUCUGAUGUGAAAGCCCACGGCUCAACCGUGGAGGGUCAUUGGAAACUGGGAGACUUGAGUGCAGAAGAGGAAAGUGGAAUUCCAUGUGUAGCGGUGAAAUGCGUAGAGAUAUGGAGGAACACCAGUGGCGAA